UGUAUCAGAGAACGCGAAUGCCAACCAAUAGCGGGUCUGCGAAUGGCUCAUUAAAUUCAGUUAUCACCUGCCUGACUGCGAUUCGGGACCUUGCGUCACUACCGUGCCACAUGGAUAACCGUUCCAAAUGGAUGGCUAAUACAUGUCAGACCAGCGCCUUGUCGGGUUGCCUUCGGGCAGCUGCCGCGGUCAGCUUGGGCAACCUCGUUGAUUGUGGCAAGACGGGCGCACGGUGGACCGAAACGAAGAGCAGCGCCCGUCGCAGGGCAGUUUGCAUCGAUGAAUCAGGUCCAUUGUGUCGUUCGGUGAAAGCAGAGUGACCGCAGUGUGUCGCUGCGAUGUCAGAUGGAUUCCUGUCCUAUCAGCUGACGAUUGUGGUGUCUUGGACCACAAUUGCAUUAACGGGUAACGGGGAAUUUGGGUUUGAUUCCGGAGAGGGGGUCUGAGAGACGGCCACCACUUCUAAGGAAGGCAGCAGGCGCGCAAAUUGCCCACUACGAACGCAUCCGUGAGGCAGCGACGAAGAAUGGCAGUAGUGCAUGCCUACUUGGCAAGUGCUACUCGCAAUGGAUGACAACUAAACCGCUCAGUGAGUAUCAACCGGAGGGCAAGUCUGGUGCCAGCAGCCGCGGUAAUUCCAGCUCCAGCAGUGUAUACAAAUAUUGCUGCUGUUAAAACGCUCGUAGUUGACUGCAGAGUGGGGAACGUUGCCCAACCUCGGGCUCCUCUCGGAGUCCUUGGGGCAAACUGGGCUCGCCCAGCAAGCCAGGGCAGCAGCUUCUUCGCUCGCCUGACACGGAAGUGGUUCCUCAUGUUGACACACUCUUCGGUGAUUGUGCUUGGCUGCCUUCGAACCGAAAGCAUUCGUUGGCUCUCAAAGAAGGGGCGUCCGUGGCCAAUACCAUGAACAAAACAGCGCGUCCAUAGCGGCCGACUUGCUCGGUCGAAUGACAAAGCAUGGGAUGUUAAGGGAUCGACCAGCGUCUCCUGAUCGUUCUGCCUGCUCUUCUCCAGGCGUUGGGCAAUGCGAGGUGUGAUCAUCGGCUGCAGGCCCUAUCGCGGGGUCUCUGUGGUCGGCUGCAUCUAUCCAUCGAACGGAAACGAUGAGCGUGCUCGGGGCCCUGCGUACUGAUUGCCUAGAGGUGAAAUUCUUGGAUGCAAUCAUGACGAACUGCAGCGAAGGCGUUCUCUGGCAAGGGCACGACUGUCAAUCAAGAACGAGAGUGUGGGGAUCGAAGAUGAUCAGAUACCGUCGUAGUCCAUUUUCCGUAAACGUUGCCGGCUCGGCAUGGGGCGCGUUCCUCUCCACAGGUGGCGUGUUCCGUGCCUCCCUCCAUCAUCGAGAAAUCUGAAGCUUUUGGGUUCAGGGGGGAGUACAUUCGCAAGGCUGAAACUUGAAGGAAUUGACGGAAUGACACCACAAGGCGUGGAGUCUGCGGCUUAAUUUGACUCAACACGGGGAACGUUACCGGGUCAGGACGCAGCGAUGAUGGACAGAUUGAGAGCUCUUUCUUGAUUCUUUGGAUGGUGGUGCAUGGCCGUUCCUGGUUCGUGGGGUGAUCUGUCUGGUUGAUUCCGAUAACGAGCGAGAUCUCCACCUUUCCAUAGCUUUCAUGCUCAUUGUAGGGUAGCCCCCUUUCGGCGUUCCUUCUGGUUCGUUCGGGUGGAUAAGGCUGCACGAGAGCAUGGUAAUCU
rnacentral:rRNA from 1 species